AUGACUGUUGGCAGCAUAUUACGGGCACUCAUGGCCUCUGCCUUCCUUGCAUGUCACAGAGGGUCAUUCAAUCCCAACCAGCAAUAUCUACGCAGGAGGGUGAGACCGUGAAACUGGACUGUGCAUACAAAACUAAUAUUGUAUAUUACAUAUUGUAUUGGUACAAAAGGUCUCCCAAUGGGAAGAUUAUUUUCCUCAUUUAUCAGCAAACAGAUGCAGAAACCAAUGCGACACAGGGUCAAUAUUCUGUGAGCUUCCAGAAAGCAACUAAAACUAUUCAGCUUAUCAUAUCAUCAUCACAGCCAGAAGACCUGCAACAUAUUUUUGUUGUCUCAAAGAGCC